rnacentral:misc_RNA from 1 species
UAAUAAAGUGUUUUAUGGCACUUUUUAAAAAAAAUCCAUAUCCACCUUGUGUGCAAUGUAUUUUAGAUCUCGCCAAAUUAUUUUUUGAUAAUUUGGCAAGGUUUUAUUAUAUUACAUCAACUCUUUUUUAAUAUGAUUUGUCUGAAAAAUAUUAUGAAUUGUCAACUUAAUUCAAAAUA